CUGAGCAUGUAUAAAGUCUCACUGGGGCUACAAGGGGCAAUGUCGUGUAAGCAAUGGAAGCAACAGGCCUGAUCAUCUUGCUGCUCCUCACUGUUUCUCAGGGUAUGUUGCCUGAGCAGGCGGUAGCGUUUAGAACACUCAAGCAAGUCUGUCCACAAGUGUGCACAUACACUUCUGUUGUGUGUAAUGGCGUGUGUAGGGAUAGAGUCUGCUAUAGCGACUGCAACUUACCAGCAAAUUGCACUGGAUAUAGGGGUGCUUGCUCCUGAUAUGGAGCACAAUCUAUAAUAAUCCCCAAGGUGAAGGAUGUUGUGUUUGUAUUUUGAUCAUGAAUUUACUCCGAGAAAAAUGCAUACCUCUA